rnacentral:rRNA from 1 species
UACGUAGGGUGCGAGCGUUAAUCGGAAUUACUGGGCGUAAAGCGUGCGCAGGCGGUUUUGUAAGACAGGCGUGAAAUCCCCGGGCUUAACUUGGGAAUGGCGCUUGAGACUGGAAGGCUAGAGUAUGUCAGAGGGGGGUAGAAUUCCACGUGUAGCAGUGAAAUGCGUAGAGAUGUUGAGGAAUACCGAUGGCGAAGGCAGCUCCCUGGGACGUCACUGACGCUCAUGCACGAAAGCGUGGGGAGCAAUCAGG